rnacentral:rRNA from 1 species
UUGGAGGGCAAGUCUGGUGCCAGCAGCCGCGGUAAUUCCAGCUCCAAUAGCGUAUAUUAAAGUUGUUGCAGUUAAAAAGCUCGUAGUUGAGCCUCGGGGUCUACCCAUUGGUCAGGCUUAAUUGUCUGCACUGGUGAGAUGGAUCUCUACCUUCUGAGGAACUUUCAUGCCAUUCAUUUGGUGUGAUGGGAAAUCAGGACUGUUACUUUGAAAAAAUUAGAGUGUUUAAAGCAGACUAUCGUCUGAAUACAUUAGCAUGGAAUAAUGAAAUAGGACGGACUGAUUCUAUUUCGUUGGUUUCUAGGAUCACCGUAAUGAUUAAUAGGGAUAGUUGGGGGCAUUAGUAUUCAAUUGUCAGAGGUGAAAUUCUUGGAUUUAUUGAAGACUAACUACUGCGAAAGCAUUUGCCAAGGAUGUUUUCAUUAAUCAAGAACGAAAGUUAGGGGAUCGAAGACGAUCAGAUACCGUCGUAGUCUUAACCAUAAACUAUGCCGACUAGGGAUCGGACGAAGUUAAUUUUAUAAUGACGCGUUCGGCGCCUUACGGGAAAC